ACAGUACAAACUGAGCAGACCGUGACAGUAUGUCAUGGAGUCGGGUCACAUGAGUGACAGUGGUAUCUUUCAUCCACGGGACAGU
rnacentral:ncRNA from 1 species